UCCUUUCCCCCAGGUCAGCUGGACUCUGAUAAAACCUCAGCUUAUUAGGCUAUGGUUAACUAGUUUCUCCUGAGUUCAGGUCUUUUUAAGAAUAGGGUGUAAUGAUGUAUUUUAAAGUGGUUCCUUUCCCCCUCCACCUGCCUCAGUAUUUGUUUUGAGGACCUGGUAGGGCUCCUAUGUACAAUUCACAAAAGCAUGCACCUUCACCGUGAUGGUUUCCUCUGGAGUUUUUGUCAGACUGAGCCUCUAGCAAUUUGUCAAUGACACCUCAGCUUUUCACAUCCCAGCAAUUGUUCCUGUGGAGGUUUUAGCUCAGCGGUUCUGCUCUGGUUGGAGGGAAAAGUAAGAUUCAAAGAAUACAGAAGACAUAAGCAACAAAAACCUGCACUAAAUACAGAAUAUACAUUGAUUUCAAGCCUACAUGGAAUAUUUACUAAAGAAAAAAUGACUACUUACGAGAUUGUAAGGAACUCUCACUUCCAAUUUCCUGCUCAGACAAAAGGCUUCAACAUAUCAUUUUCUAGGUAAGGAAAUGGCAAGACAAAUGACUUUACCCUGGCUACAAGGAUAUUCUGGGUAAGAAACAG